rnacentral:rRNA from 2 species
GCUCAGGACGAACGCUGGCGGGCGUGCCUNAUACAUGCAAGUCGAGCGGAAGUUGGAGAGCUUGCUCUUCAACUUUAGCGGCGGACGGGUGAGUAACACGUGGGCAACCUGCCCUGCAGAUCGGGAUAACUCCGGGAAACCGGUGCUAAUACCGAAUAGUUUUCGCCACCUCCUGGUGGCGUACGGAAAGACGGUUUCGGCUGUCACUGCAGGAUGGGCCCGCGGCGCAUUAGCUAGUUGGUGGGGUAACGGCCCACCAAGGCGACGAUGCGUAGCCGACCUGAGAGGGUGAUCGGCCACACUGGGACUGAGACACGGCCCAGACUCCUACGGGAGGCAGCAGUAGGGAAUCUUCCGCAAUGGACGAAAGUCUGACGGAGCAACGCCGCGUGAGUGACGAAGGUUUUCGGAUCGUAAAACUCUGUUGUGAGGGAAGAACAAGUACCAACUNAACUACUGGUACCUUGACGGUACCUCACCA